AUUGAACGCUGGCGGAAUGCUUUACACAUGCAAGUCGAACGGCAGCACGGACUUCGGUCUGGUGGCGAGUGGCGAACGGGUGAGUAAUGUAUCGGAACGUGCCCAGUCGUGGGGGAUAACGUAGUGAAAAUUACGCUAAUACCGCAUACGAUCUAUGGAUGAAAGCGGGGGAUCGCAAGACCUCGCGCGAUUGGAGCGGCCGAUAUCAGAUUAGGUAGUUGGUGGGGUAAAGGCCCACCAAGCCAACGAUCUGUAGCUGGUCUGAGAGGACGUCCAGCCACACCGGAACUGAGACACGGUCCAGACUCCUACGGGAGGCAGCAGUGGGGAAUUUCGGACAAUGGGCGAAAGCCUGACCCAGCCAUUCCGCGUGCAGGAUGAAGGCCCUCGGGUUGUAAGCUGCUUUUGUACAGAACGAAAAGGUUUCUACUAAUACUAGGAGCUCAUGACGGUACUGUAAGAAUAAGCACCGGCUAACUACGUGCCAGCCGCCGCAGUAA
rnacentral:rRNA from 1 species